rnacentral:rRNA from 1 species
UACGUAGGGUGCGAGCGUUGCCCGGAUUUAUUGGGCGUAAAGGGCGCGUAGGCGGCUCUGCACGUCCGUUGUGAAAUCGCCCGGCUCAACUGGGCGGGGUCAGCGGAUACGGCGGAGCUUGAGCAAGCUAGGGGGCAAUGGAAUUCCCGGUGUAGUGGUGGAAUGCGUAGAUAUCGGGAGGAACACCAGUGGCGAAGGCGGCCUUCUGGACAGUGACUGACGCUGAGACGCGAAAGCGUGGGGAGCAAACAGG